AACGAACGCUGGCGGCAUGCCUAACACAUGCAAGUCGAACGAGACCUUCGGGUCUAGUGGCGCACGGGUGCGUAACGCGUGGGAACCUGCCCUUCGGUUCGGAAUAACUCCCCGAAAGGGGUGCUAACACCGGAUAAUGUCUUCGGACCAAAGAUUUAUCGCCUUUGGAUGGGCCCGCGUUGGAUUAGCUAGUUGGUAGGGUAAAAGCCUACCAAGGCGACGAUCCAUAGCUGGUCUGAGAGGAUGAUCAGCCACACUGGGACUGAGACACGGCCCAGACUCCUACGGGAGGCAGCAGUGGGGAAUAUUGGACAAUGGGCGAAAGCCUGAUCCAGCAAUGCCGCGUGAGUGAUGAAGGCCUUAGGGUUGUAAAGCUCUUUUACCCGGGAUGAUAAUGACAGUACCGGGAGAAUAAGCUCCGGCUAACUCCGUG
rnacentral:rRNA from 1 species